rnacentral:rRNA from 1 species
AGUGAACGCUGGCGGCGUGCCUAAUACAUGCAAGUCGAACGGAGUGGCGCACGGGCGAGUAAUGUAUAGCUAAUCUGCCCUACACUAGAGGACAACAGUUGGCAACGGCUGCUAAUACUCCAUAGUGUAGGAUGAGGCGAUAUUGUAUCAGCUAGCUGGUGAGGUAAUGGCGCACGAAGGCUAUGACGCAUAACUGGUCUGAGAGGAUGAUCAGUCACGCUGGAACUGAGACACGGUCGAGACGCCUACGGGAGGCAGCAGUAGGGAAUAGUGCUCAAUGGGGGAAACCCUGAAGCAGCAACGCGUCGUGGAGUAUGACACUUUUCGGGGCGUAAACUCCUUUUGUUAGGGAAGCGGUACCUGACGAAUAAGCACCGGCUAACUCCGUGCCAGCCGCCGCGGUAAUUC